rnacentral:rRNA from 1 species
GAAGCGGUGAAUUCAAGCCCCGGUAAACGGCGGUGGUAACUAUAACCAUCCUAAGGUAGCGAAAUUCCUUGUCGGGUAAGUUCCGACCUGCACGAAUGGCGUAACGACUUCCCCACUGUCUCGACCAGGAGCUCGGCGAAAUUGCAGUACGAGUAAAGAUGCUCGUUAAGCGCAGAAGGACGAAAAGACCCCGGGACCUUUACUAUACCUUGGUAUUGGCGUUAGGCGCGGAUUGUGUAGCAUAGGCGGGAGGCUUCGAAGCGCGGGCGCCAGCCCGUGUGGAGCCGCAAGGUGAAAUACCGCUCUGUUCUCGUUUGACGUCUCACCUCGAACAGUCAUCCUGUUCAGGGACAGUGCCUGGCGGGUAGUUUAACUGGGGCGGUUGCCUCCCAAAGAGUAACGGAGGCGCUCAAAGGUCCGCUCAGCCCGGUUGGCAAUCGGGUUUCGAGUGUAAUCGCACAAGCGGGCUUGACUGCGAGAACGACGGUUCGGGCAGGGACGAAAGUCGGAGAUAGUGAUCCGGUGCCGGCGCACGGGCGCGGCAUCGCUCAACGGAUAAAAGGUACCCCGGGGAUAACAGGCUGAUCAUUCCCAAGAGUCCAUAUCGACGGGAUGGUUUGGCACCUCGAUGUCGGCUCGUCGCAUCCUGGGGCUGGAGCAGGUCCCAAGGGUUCGGCUGUUCGCCGAUUAAAGCGGCACGCGAGCUGGGUUCAGAACGUCGUGAGACAGUUUGGUCUCUAUCCUCUGCGCUCGUUGGAAUCCUGAGGAGGCCUGCCCAUAGUACGAGAGGACCUGGGUGGACGAACCUCUGGUAUGCCGGUUGUCACGCCAGUGGCACGGCCGGUUGGCUACGUUCGGAAGGGAUAACCGCUGAAAGCAUCUAAGCGGGAAGCCUUCUCCAAGAUAAGGAUUCCAUGCGGCCCCGAGCCGCUGAAGACCCCAUGCAGAACACGUGGUCGAUAGGCCGGACGUGGAAGCCCCGCGAGGGGUGGAGCCGACCGGUACUAAUGGUCGAGAGGCAACCCAC